GAUGAACGCUGGCGGCGUGCUUAACACAUGCAAGUCGAACGGAAAGGCCCAAGCUUGCUUGGGUACUCGAGUGGCGAACGGGUGAGUAACACGUGGGUGAUCUGCCCUGCACUUCGGGAUAAGCCUGGGAAACUGGGUCUAAUACCGGAUAGGACCACAUUUUGGAUGGUGUGGUGGAAAGUUUUUCGGUGUGGGAUGAGCUCGCGGCCUAUCAGCUUGUUGGUGGGGUAAUGGCCUACCAAGGCGUCGACGGGUAGCCGGCCUGAGAGGGUGUACGGCCACCUUGGGACUUAGAUACGGCACCGACUCCUACGGGAGGCAGCAGUGGGGAAUAUUGCACAAUGGGCGCAAGCCUGAUGCAGCGACGCCGCGUGGGGGAUGACGGCCUUCGGGUUGUAAACUCCUUUCGCUAGGGACGAAGCGUUAUGUGACGGUACCUGGAGAAGAAGCACCGGCUAACUACGUG
rnacentral:rRNA from 1 species